CGACGCGGCAUCAGCUCAUAGCGUAUAUUAAGUUGUUGCAGUUAAAAAGCUCGUAGUUGAAUUUCGGAAUCGGUUGGCUGGUCCGGCCAUCGGUAUGUACUGGCGUGACUGGUUCUUACCUUCUGACGAACCGUGAUGCCCUUUUUUGGGGCUUUGGGAAACAGGACUUUUACUUUGAAAAAAUUAAAAGGGUUAAAGCAGGAAAA
rnacentral:rRNA from 1 species